rnacentral:rRNA from 1 species
CAGUGAGGCCUGGGGUGCUAAGGUCCCCGGCCGAGAGGGAAAGAACCCAGACCAACAGCUAAGGUCCCUAAAUCUAGAUUAAGUUGAACAAAGGAGGUCCAGUUGCUUUGACAGCCAGGAGGUUGGCUUGGAAGCAGCCAUUCCUUUAAAGAGUGCGUAACAGCUCACUGGUCGAGCGACCGGGCAUCGAUAAUACGCGGGCAUCAAAUCUAGUACCGAAGCUUUGGAUGUUGCGUU